rnacentral:misc_RNA from 1 species
AGUUUGUCAGUGCAUCUCAGGCUGGUGAUAUUGAGUUCCUGGAUAUCAGAAAUCCCAGGGAUACAUACCUCACAAUUAAUGCUCACAGGGGCUCACUUACAGCUUUAGCUGUUCAUAGGCAUGCCCCUAUCAUUGCCAGUGGCUCAGCAAAACAAAUUAUUAAAGUAUUCAGCCUGGAGGGUGAUUUACUUGGCACAAUUCGGUAUUACUCGACUUUCAUGGCCCAGAAGAUUGGUCCUGUAAGCUGUCUCGCCUUCCAUCCAUGCCAAGUACUGCUUGCUGCUGGAUCUGCAGAGGCUUGUGUUUCAAUAUAUGCUGAUGACAAUGCUCAAGCAAGAUGAGUGCUCAUUCAUUACUGGUGUUUGAUGGAGUCACCUUGUUGAUGAGCAGCACAAGGAAUGGACUUGUUAUGGUCGUCAAUGGAGUUUUCCGAGUGCAAUUUGCUCAUGAGAUGUGACACUCCAUUGAGCCAAUCCUGCCUCUGGCUGGAACAUGGGUUUGGCUCGAAAUUGUAUGCUACAUAUUCAUUAGCCUCCAGUUUAGAGGGUCAAUCAAGAUGGGAAGAAAUCCUGCAUAUUUAUGGGUGGGCCAGUGGAGGCUUCGCCAAAUAAUUGUUAUAUGGGUAAAUGUGUGUAAAUAGCUUCUUCUCUCUUUUGUAUCUUUCCCUUUUUCGUGUGUUUGUUGAUCUAUCCGUCCCUAUGUGCCUUGUAAAAUCAUAAUUUAAGCAUUGCAGACAGAUGUUGAUAUGGAUACCCCGUCAAUUGCGGGGAAUUCAACAUGCUAAAUAUUCCUCGUGUUUUGAGUAGCCUUUCCCCCACCUCCCCACCGAAAAAAAAAAAGAUGCCUAGGUUGCGGGCCUCUGUUAACCUUCUAGCAGCUUGUAAUUAAAUUCUUAGCUGUGAGAAAUGAGGACGUCCAAUGAGCUUGUCAUUUG